AAUCAACGCUGGCGGCAGGCCUAACACAUGCAAGUCGAACGCAUCGCAAGAUGAGUGGCAGACGGGUGAGUAACGCGUGGGAACCUUCCCAGUGGUGCGGAAUAGCUCAGGGAAACUUGAGGUAAUACCGCAUGAGCCCGCAAGGGGAAAGAUUUAUCGCCAUUGGGUGGGCCCGCGUCGGAUUAGCUAGUUGGUGAGGUAACGGCUCACCAAGGCGACGAUCCGUAGCUGGUUUGAGAGAAUGACCAGCCACACUGGGACUGAGACACGGCCCAGACUCCUACGGGAGGCAGCAGUGGGGAAUAUUGGACAAUGGGCGCAAGCCUGAUCCAGCCAUGCCGCGUGAGUGACGAAGGCCUUAGGGUUGUAAAGCUCUUUUGGCGGGGACGAUAAUGACGGUACCGCAGAAUAAGCCCCGGCUAACUUCGUGCCAGCAGCCGCGGUAAGUGACGUCAGA
rnacentral:rRNA from 1 species